rnacentral:lncRNA from 1 species
AAAGAUUUUUCGGGAUAUCGGCCUAAGAUCGUGUAAGUAAGUAAUCUGAUAUUUUUUUUACAAUCAACUUUCUUUAUAAUAAAUGUAUAAUUUUUAUAUACCUAUAAGAGCAUUUGACGUUUAAAUAUUAUAAGAAUUAUUUAAAAUGAAUUAUUUUUACUUUUUAAAUAUUAUAUAUGGAAUAAUUACUUCACGCUUGUUCCAAAUUAAAUGCUUCAAAUAUUAAAGGAUGUUAUGUUAUUGUUAGUCGACUAGUACAAGAAAUGGUCACUUCAUUAACGCUAUAUAUAGCUUGCCCAGAGAAGUGCAUUCUCCCAUCUCUACCUGCUUUUUAUUUCCUCUUCUUCUUUAACUAUUAUUUACUAUAUUAUGGUAACUAUCUCAGCUGGUUUUCUGGGAGUUGUUGUGUUGGUUGUUCUUUUCAUAAGUGGAGCCAUGGCUUUUGCUGACAUUGAGCAUCCGUCUGGUAUGUUUGCCGGUAGGCGGUUGCUCCCUGACGGUGGCUCAGCCGGCGGUGACGGUGUUGUUGAGGGAGGACUGCUGGGUCCGAUAGCAGAUGCUUUCGGUCUUGUUGGAAAUUUGUUGGGAGAUCUUACUGGAAAGAAUUAAUGGUGGAAACAAAUUUAAUUUAUACAAUCCUAGCAAAAUAUUUCUAUUAUUAAUAACUAGACUUGUGUUUUUCUUUUUCUUUUGAAUAAUUGGCUCUUGAGUUUCUUGCUUUUUUCAUUAUACUAUGUAUUUGUGUGGUUUCCUUCUUCUCUCUAUACUUUCGGAGUUUCAAUAUUGUAUCCCAAGUUUAAUUAAUGACAAUAAUGGAGAGUGAAUUACUACUUUAC